rnacentral:lncRNA from 10 species
AUACCUGGAAGUCAGAUUCCAGGCUCCUCUGUGGACGGCUUUGUCUUCGUUCCCUGGCACUUCCAACCCACCCUCUCUACCCAGGAACUAAGGCUGAGUGGUCUCCAGUGCCCUGAGAAAGCCCUGUGGAAGCACCAAGGAUGCUGGCACUGCCAGGAAGAGCGAGGGCUGAAGAGGAAACGGCUCAGACAGCUGUGGAGCUGGGACUCUCUCUCGUUGAGAUGCAUUAAUUUGACACUGACAAGAUGCAGGCAGGAAGCCCAGAAGAAGGACAGCCCCCAUCCUGAGAAUAAGGUAAAGAAACUGAGGCUUGGAGAGGCAAAAUGAUUCGGCUGAGGCCCCACACUAGGUUCCUGACAAGCGUCUGGCUUCUGGACCAGAGUUCACAUCCCAUCCCAUCAGGCUGGAAGAGACUGCGGGUGAACUGAAUGCCUCUCAACGUCCCUUUCCACCCCUGGUGGCCAGGCUCAUUAGGAGAAAGGAUGUCAGAAUCUCAGUGGAGGUGUGAGGAUUUUUCUCCCAAAGUCAUAAAGCGGAAGGCAUCCUGCCUGUUUAACUGGCAGCCCGUCUUCUGGCCUCACCUCCCUUCAGGUACUGCUUUUUUAUCUCCUCCUAAAAUGCGGCAGCCCUUAUCGUCCCAAUCUCAAAUUUCACUCCAUUUUUUUUAUUACACAAAAGAGAAAAAAAUCUGUCAGUAAAACUGUCUCCUCAAAUUUAUUCGCCGAGACUGAGGGUUUUAUUACGAGGAAAAUACACCCACACCCCACACAUCCACACACAUACCCACACACCCCAGAUAAAGCACUGAAGAAUUAUCCGAGUCGUAAAUCUCUGUUUCAGGCUGAGGGACAGGGGAGUUUCAAGGACGAGACUAGUUUUCCUUUGGUUUUAUUUACAUCUGUUUCUCUGGGGCUGUGUCAGGGCCUCACUGUCAGCCAG